GAAGUCAAAGGCCGACAAAUUUAGAGAUAGACUUGAGUUGGUUUCCACGUGGGUAGCCAUACCUGACAUUGGCAGUGUAGGUGAGACUUGUGGCUCUGUAGGAGACAAGCUAAGGGACAAGGAGGGUCUACCCUCAAAGACUUCUCUGAGCAUCCUGGUAGAGAUGACCGUGGCCGAGGCACCCCCGCCACGCGGUUUUGGUAAAAGAGUACCUAGGACCCAAGGAAGGCCCUGAGUAUCUCUAAGAGAUGGAGAGUUCCACCUCUUUCCUCCUCCACUGAAACCAUUGUUAGAACGGGAAGCCAGAGAUACUCAGGGCAUAUCAACGCCGCCGUUGUACAGCUACAAUCAGUGCCUUGGUUGAGUUGGGACAAGUGGCUUUUUGUAGAAGAAUCUCUCCUUUCGAAUUCACCUGAUUCUGUGGACUCUGCUUUGUGAAGAUUAUCAGCAUGGGGUAGCAGAGGAUGUCUUCCUGUUGCUGUUGAAGUUACCAAAAUGCUUGUCGAAAUUCAGCAAAAGAUCCUCAGUUUAGAAAGGAGCAGUCAAUGAUUUGAUAAUUGUAAAACGAAUCAAUCAAGUGAUGCUUUGCUUUCAGAGGAAAUGUUGGCCAUGUUAUAUUGUAUGGCAAUCACAAGCGAACUACAGUCUCCAUUCGAAAGGUGUUAUCAAGAUAUUGAAAAGUCUUAUUGGGUUGUAUUCUUCCUUCUCUCCAGAAGUUGUUUCUGUACUGUUGGAGUUCUUGUUGAAGGCUAUGAAUCCUCAGAAUCCUUGGAACCGGAGUUACUUUCUGUCUCUUCUGAAGACUGAUGUAUGAGACAGGUAAUCACCUGACCUUAAUUUCUUUGUAUUUGUUUGUUCCAUAUUCAGAUAGACCGGUAAACUUAUGAUGAGGUUAUACAUAGAAUCUUUUGAUAUUUACAUGGUUAGAAUUGGAUUGCUUUUUUACCGGACAUGGGUCAGUGAUCUAGUAUGCAAUAAGGAUUAGAAACAGCUUGAUUUCCUGAGUUUAGAGAGCUUGUAAAUUUACAUGAAACAGUUUAAUACUGGGAUAUGUUUCCUCUUGCUUCCCCCAUCAAAUUACAUAUUUCAAUCUUUGUAUUACAUUUGGUAGCUACUAAACAGGAAUUGUACAAAAUACUAUAUUUCCUUUAGGGGUAAAUGACAAAAAACUACCUAGCUAUUGGUCUAACUACACUUUGGUACCUCAUCUUUUAAAAAUGACAAUGUCCUACUUUAUCUUACGAAUUUGUGCCCAUGUCAGACUUCUGUCAGUUUUUCUGUUACUUUUUUUUGUU